rnacentral:rRNA from 1 species
UGGGGAAUAUUGCGCAAUGGGCGAAAGCCUGACGCAGCAACGCCGCGUGAGUGAUGAAGGCCUUCGGGUCGUAAAGCUCUGUCGGAGGGAACGAAUGCUCUUGAGGUUAACAGCCUCGGGAGGUGACGGUACCCUCAAAGGAAGCACCGGCUAACUCUGUGCCAGCAGCCGCGGUAAUACGUAGGUGGCAAGCGUUGUCCGGAUUUACUGGGCGUAAAGCGCGCGCAGGCGGACUGGUCAGUCCGGGGUGAAAUCUCACGGCUCAACCGUGAGGGGUCCCUGGAUAAUGCCAGCCUUGAGGGGCUCAGAGGAGAGUGGAAUUCCGGGUGUAGUGGUGGAAUGCGUAGAUAUCCGGAGGAACACCAGUGGCGAAAGCGGCUCUCUGGGGGCAACCUGACGCUGAGGCGCGAAAGCGUGGGGAGCGAACCGGAUUAGAUACCCCUGUAGUCCCUGAGCGGGCUGGCAAGGCGCAU